AUGGUCCCUACUUGCACCUAUCAAACUGGCCAUGCCCAUGCCCAUUCUGGGCCCAUAUGGAAGCUCUCUUUGCACCUUUUGGUUGACCUCUGAGGAGCAGCUUGGAUACCUUCUUCCCCUUAACACUGUAGAGGCUCUCUGCAACAGAACUCCCUACAUCUCACAGCACCAGCCUCCGUUCUCCUACCAAGUGUGAUUUGUGUGUCUAGCCUUCUCUAGGACUUCUGCCAGAUUGGCCUCUCUUCAGGUACAGCUAGGAGAGCCACAUUCAAAACCAAGAAGAGAAAGGAGUCAUAGAGCCACA
rnacentral:lncRNA from 1 species